rnacentral:rRNA from 1 species
AGCGAACGCUGGCGGCAGGCCUAACACAUGCAAGUCGAACGGACCCUUCGGGGUUAGUGGCGGACGGGUGAGUAACACGUGGGAACGUGCCUUUAGGUUCGGAAUAGCUCCUGGAAACGGGUGGUAAUGCCGAAUGUGCCCUUCGGGGGAAAGAUUUAUCGCCUUUAGAGCGGCCCGCGUCUGAUUAGCUAGUUGGUGAGGUAACGGCUCACCAAGGCGACGAUCAGUAGCUGGUCUGAGAGGAUGACCAGCCACACUGGGACUGAGACACGGCCCAGACUCCUACGGGAGGCAGCAGUGGGGAAUCUUGCGCAAUGGGCGAAAGCCUGACGCAGCCAUGCCGCGUGAAUGAUGAAGGUCUUAGGAUUGUAAAAUUCUUUCACCGGGGACGAUAAUGACGGUACUCGGAGAAGAAGCCCCGGCUAACUUCGUG